rnacentral:tRNA from 1 species
GAGGUUGUGGCUCAAUGGUAGAGCACUUGCCUGGCAUGCAUGAGGAACUGGGUUCAAUCCUCAGCACCACA